ACACAUGCAAGUCGAGGGGCAGCAUGGUCUUAGCUUGCUAAGGCCGAUGGCGACCGGCGCACGGGUGAGUAACACGUAUCCAACCUGCCGUCUACUCUUGGACAGCCUUCUGAAAGGAAGAUUAAUACAAGAUGGCAUCAUGAGUCCGCAUGUUCACAUGAUUAAAGGUAUUCCGGUAGACGAUGGGGAUGCGUUCCAUUAGAUAGUAGGCGGGGUAACGGCCCACCUAGUCUUCGAUGGAUAGGGGUUCUGAGAGGAAGGUCCCCCACAUUGGAACUGAGACACGGUCCAAACUCCUACGGGAGGCAGCAGUGAGGAAUAUUGGUCAAUGGGCGAGAGCCUGAACCAGCCAAGUAGCGUGAAGGAUGACUGCCCUAUGGGUUGUAAACUUCUUUUAUAAAGGAAUAAAGUCGGGUAUGGAUACCCGUUUGCAUGUACUUUAUGAAUAAGGAUCGGCUAACUCCGUGCCAGCAGCCGCGGUAAUACGGAGGAUCCGAGCGUUAUCCGAAUUUAUUGGGUUUAAAGGGAGCGUAGAUGGAUGUUUAAGUCAGUUGUGAAAGUUUGCGGCUCAACCGUAAAAUUGCAGUUGAUACUGGAUAUCUUGAGUGCAGUUGAGGCAGGCGGAAUUCG
rnacentral:rRNA from 1 species